rnacentral:ncRNA from 2 species
UUUUCCGAGGAGCGUUGCGACGGGCGCGAUCAGCGUGCCCGCCAGGCUCGGAAGACUUCACCGAGCGGCCAUGCGCGGCGGCGAUCGACGAUCGCACCGGCGUGCCGCUUCCUGAACGGCGCUCACGUCAC